rnacentral:ncRNA from 1 species
ACUCUGGAGAAACCCGCGCAGCGGGUGCCGAAGGUGUAAGGCCGCCGGGAAAGCGGCUGUAUCUCUCAGGCAAAAGGACAGAGC